rnacentral:rRNA from 1 species
CACCCGUUCCCAUCCCGAACACGGAAGUUAAGACCUCCAG